rnacentral:rRNA from 1 species
CAGCGGCCCUAGUGGUGAUCGUUAUUAUUGGGCCUGAAGCGUCCGUAGCCGGUUCGGUAAAUCUCUGGGUAAAUCGUUGGGCUUAACUCAACGAAUUCUGGGGAGACUGCCGAACUUGGGACCGGGAGAGGUCGGAGGUACUCCAGGGGUAGGGGUGAAAUCCUGUAAUCCUUGGGGGACCACCGGUGGCGAAAGCGUCCGACCAGAACGGGUCCGACGGUAAGGGACGAAGCCCUGGGGCGCGAACCGGAUUAGAUACCCGAGUAGUCC